rnacentral:misc_RNA from 1 species
AAAUGCAGAAAAGGCUAUGUUGC